CGGGGGGGAUGCCGCAAGGCCUCCCGGGUAACCUACCACCCUUUGUUUAUUACACUUUGUUGCUUUGGCAGGCCUGCCCUCGGGCUGCUGGCUCCGGCCGGCGAGCGCUUGCCAGAGGACCUAAACUCUGUUUGUCUAUACUGUCUGAGUACUAUAUAAUAGUUAAAACUUUCAACAACGGAUCUCUUGGUUCUGGCAUCGAUGAAGAACGCAGCGAAAUGCGAUAAGUAAUGUGAAUUGCAGAAUUCAGUGAAUCAUCGAAUCUUUGAACGCACAUUGCGCCCCCUGGUAUUCCGGGGGGCAUGCCUGUCCGAGCGUCAUUACAACCCUCAAGCUCAGCUUGGUGUUGGGCCCCGCCGCCCCGGCGGGCCCUAAAGUCAGUGGCGGUGCCGUCCGGCUCCGAGCGUAGUAAUUCUUCUCGCUCUGGAGGUCCGGUCGUGUGCUUGCCAUCAACCCCCAAUUUUUUUCAGGUUGACCUCGGAUCAGGUAGGGAUACCCGCUGAACUUAAGCAUAUCAAUAAGCGAAGGAA
rnacentral:rRNA from 1 species